rnacentral:rRNA from 1 species
UACGGAAGGCAGCAGUGGGGAAUAUUGCACAAUGGGCGAAAGCCUGAUGCAGCUAUGCCGCGUGUAUGAAGAAGGCCUUAGGGUUGUAAAGUACUUUCAUCGGGGAGGAAAAAACAAAACUAAUAAUUUUAUUUCUUGACGUUACCCGAAAAAGAAGCACCGGCUAACUCCGUGCCAGCAGCCGCGGUAAUACGGAGGGUGCUAGCGUUAAUCAGAAUUACUGGGCGUAAAGAGCACGUAGGUGGUUUUUUUUAAAGUCAGAUGUGAAAUCCCUGGGCUUAACCUAGGAACUGCAUUUUGAAACUGAAAUACUAGAGUAUCGUAGAGGGAGGUAGAAUUCUAGGUGUAGCGGUGAAAUGCGUAGAUAUCUGGAGGAAUACCUGUGGCGAAAGCGGCCUCCUAAACGAAUACUGACACUGAGGUGCGAAAGCGUGGGGAGCAAACAGGGAUUAGAUACC